rnacentral:rRNA from 1 species
AUUGUAAUUUGCACAGGAUUCUUCGGGAGCGGUCCCCAUCUAAGUGCCCUGGAACGGGACGUCAUAGAUGGUGAGAAUCCCGUAUGGGAUGGGGUGUCCGCGCCCGUGUGAAGCUCCUUCGACGAGUCGAGUUGUUUGGGAAUGCAGCUCUAAAUGGGUGGUAAAUUUCAUCUAAAGCUAAAUAUUGGCCGGAGACCGAUAGCGCACAAGUAGAGUGAUCGAAAGAUGAAAAGCACUUUGAAAAGAGAGUUAAAA